rnacentral:lncRNA from 1 species
AACAAGAGUGCACACACUGAAAUGUCUCGCCUUCUAUACUAAUCAUUGAUAUUAUGUUGAUAGUCCUAAGUAUAAAGCUAAGCUUUAAUACAACUGUCACAUAAACUUAACAUUAACCAAAGAUAACUAAACAAGACCAAUGAACCUUGAAAAUGAGGUCAAGGUCAGAUGAACCAUGCCAGGCAGACAUGUACAGCUAACAAAGCUUCUAUACAACAUAUAUAGUUGACCUAUUACUUAUAGUUUAAGAAAAAUAGACCAAAACACAAAAACUUAACACUGUGCAAUGAACCGUGAAAAUGAGGUCACGGUCAAAUAAAAUCUGCGUGACUGACUUAAAGAUCAUAAAAUAUUUCCAUACACCAAAUAUAGAUGACCUAUGGCAUAUAGUAUUAGAUAAAAAGACCAAAACUCAAAAACUUAACUUUGACCACUGAACCAUGAAAAUGAGGUCAAGGUCACAUGACAUCUCCCCGCUAGAUAGGUACACCUUACAAUCAUUCCAUACAACAAAUAUAGUAGACCUAUUGCAUAUAGUAUGAGAAAAAACAGACCAAAACACAAAAAUUUAACUAUAACCACUGAACCAUGAAAAUGAGGUCAAGGUCAGAUGACACCUGCCAAUUGGACAUGUACACCUUACAGUCCUUCCAUACACCGAAUAUACUAGCCCUAUUGCUUGUAGUAUCUGAGAUAUGGACUUGACCACCAAAACUUAACCUUGUUCACUGAUCCAUGAAAUGAGGUCGAGGUCAAGUGAAAACUGUCUGACAGACAUGAGGACCUUUCAAGGUACGCACAUAUCAAAUAUAGUUAUCCUAUUACUUAUAAUAAGAGAGAAUUCAACAUUACAAAAAAUCUCAACUUUUUUUUCAAGUGGUCACUGAACCAUGAAAAUGAGGUCAAGGACAUUGGACAUGUGACUGACGGAAACUUCGUAACAUGAGGCAUCUAUAUACAAAGUAUGAAGCAUCCAGAUCUUCCACCUUCUAAAAUAUAAAGCUUUUAAGAAGUUAGCUAACACCGCCGCCGCCGCCGUAGCCGCCGCCGGAUCACUAUCCCUAUGUCGAGCUUUCUGCAACAAAAGUUGCAGGCUCGACAAAAAAUUAAGAAAAAA